rnacentral:rRNA from 1 species
UGGGGAAUAUUGCACAAUGGGCGCAAGCCUGAUGCAGCCAUGCCGCGUGUGUGAAGAAGGCCUUCGGGUUGUAAAGCACUUUCAGCGGGGAGGAAGGCGAUAAGGUUAAUAACCUUGUCGAUUGACGUUACCCGCAGAAGAAGCACCGGCUAACUCCGUGCCAGCAGCCGCGGUAAUACGGAGGGUGCAAGCGUUAAUCGGAAUUACUGGGCGUAAAGCGCACGCAGGCGGUUUGUUAAGUCAGAUGUGAAAUCCCCGGGCUCAACCUGGGAACUGCAUCUGAUACUGGCAAGCUUGAGUCUAGUAGAGGGGGGUAGAAUUCCAGGUGUAGCGGUGAAAUGCGUAGAGAUCUGGAGGAAUACCGGUGGGGAAGGCGGCCCCCUGGACGAAGACUGACGCUCAGGUGCGAAAGCGUGGGGAGCAAACAGG